GCUNNNNNNNNNNNNNNNNNNNNNNNNNNNNNNNNNAAUUUUUGUAUUUUUAGUAGAGAUGGGGUUUCACCAUGUUGGCCAGGCUGGUCUCGAACUCCUGACCUCAAGGUGAUCCACCCGCCUUGGCCUCCCAAAGUGCUAGGAUUAUAGAUGUGAGCCACUGCACCCAGCAACCCAAAUUAUUUUUAAAAACUCUGAUCCCUGAAUACUUGAAGAGACUGAUUUGACUAAUAAUAAAACUCCGGUCUCCUGCACAGCUGGCUCUGGGUGAAUUAUCCUCUCUCCAUUGCAAUUCCUCUGUCUUGAUACAUUGGGUGUGUCUAGGUAGCGGGUAAGGUGAACCCACUGGGUGGUUACAACAAUGCUUUACAACAAGCCACCUCCAAACUCACGGGCUUGCAAAUGCUCACAGAUCAACCGCAGCUCUGCUGGUAUGGGCUGGCCUCAGCUGGUGAGUUCCGCAUCAGGCUGCCCAUCGGCUACACUUGGCUCCAGGCCACAGCUGGGCUCUGCUGUUCCGCUUGUUUCAUUCUGGUGUCCAGGCUUAAAGGGCAGCAACUAUAUGGGGGCAUGCUCUUCUCAUCAAGACCACUGAGGCACCCAAGCCUUGGCCAAACCAUACAGCACAUUUAAAGCCUCUGCUCGGCUGGGCGCACUGGCUCAUGCCUGUAAUCCCAGCACUUNNNNNNNNNAAGGUGGCACGUGCCUGUAAUCCCAGCUAUUUGGAAGGCUGAGGCAGGCGAAUCGUCUACUAAAAAUACAAAAAAUUAGCUAGUCAUGGUGAUGUGUGCCUGUAAUCCCAGCUACUGGGGAGGCUGAGGUAGGAGAGUCACUUGAACCCAAGAGACAGAGGCUCUGUCUCCCACUCUGGAUUUUCUCCAUGAUGUUCUGAGAGACAGAAUGGGACCAGGAGCCAGGCAUGGUGGUGCACGCCUGUAGUUCCAGCAACUCAGGAGGCUGAGAUGGGAGGAUCACUUGAGCCCAGGAGUUUGAGGCUGCAGUGAGCUAUGAUCUCACCACUGCACUCCAGCCUGGGCAACNNNNNNNNNNUCUCUACUAAAAAUACAAAAAAUUAGCUGGGCAUGGUGGUGGGCAGCUGUAAUCUCAGUUAUGGCACAAUCUUGGCUCACUGCAACCUCCACCUCCCGGGUUCAAGCGAUUCUCCUGCCUCAGCCUCCCAAGUAGCUGGGAUUACAGGCACCCACCUCUACACCCGGCUAAUUUUUUUCACCAUGUUGGCCAGGCUGGUCUCAAACUCCUGACCUCAAGUGAUCCACUAGGCUGGU
rnacentral:lncRNA from 1 species